rnacentral:rRNA from 1 species
AGUGAACGCUGGCGGUAGGCCUAACACAUGCAAGUCGAACGGCAGCACAGUAAGAGCUUGCUCUUACGGGUGGCGCGUGGCGGACGGGUGAGGAAUACAUCGGAAUCUACUUUUUCGUGGGGGCUAACGUAGGGAAACUUACGCUAAUACCGCAUACGACCUACGGGUGAAAGCAGGGGAUCUUCGGACCUUGCGCGAUUGAAUGAGCCGAUGUCGGAUUAGCUAGUUGGCGGGGUAAAGGCGCACCAAGGCGACGAUCCGUAGCUGGUCUGAGGGGAAGAACAGACACCCUGGAACUGAGACACGGUCCCGACUCCUACGGGAGGCAGCAGUGGGGAAUAUUGGACAAUGGGCGCAAGCCUGAUCCAGCCAUACCGCGUGAGUGAAGAAGGCCUUAGGGUUGUAAAGCCCUUUUGUUGGGAAAGAAGAGCAGCAGGUUAAUACCCCGCUGUUCUGACGGUACCCAAAGAAUAAGCACCGGCUAACUUCGUG